GCGUCGGUAGUGCAACGGUUUAGCACGCACCUAGGGAUAGGGUGAAAUGUGGGUUCGAAUUCCACAUGACGCA